GCAGGACAAAACAGAAGAAAGUGGAGGAAACACUGGAGUGGAGAGUGCGCUGAAAAGAUCAAACGUCCACAGAAGGUUUGAGAAGAUAUACAAGUGGACUCAGACAAAUGAAACAACAGUCUGACUGGGGGAUGGUGAAAGGGUGUAAGAAGGGCGAGACUGAUGAUGGGGUGCAGAAAGGAGAGCUGAAGGAAGACAAGGAACAAGGAUGCACUCCCCUUAUCGCUGCCUGCCGCGGUGCCAUGAGUGAGGUGGUUCAGCAGCUCCUAAGGACUGAUGCUGACCUGACCGUGUGCAACUUCAGCCAGCAGACAGCGCUCCACGUAAGUCCGUCGGAGCUGCAGGAAAAAAUGGUGGGGUGGAUGUCAAGGCCUCAUCUGCCCCCCCAGGCGCAGCUACUGCAGGCUGCCUGGCAGGGAGACCUGCACUCCUUACAGCACCUGUUGCUUCAGACCGAUGGGCUGGAUGUGAAUGUUCCAAAUAGCGACGGUGUGACAGCUGUGAUGCUUGCUGUCAGGGACAUCGACCUGUUUGAAGACUUAGGAGCACAUUUGCCAUGGGAGCACAAACCCGUGGAGGUCAUCAAGGAACUGCUCGGAGUUUCUGCUGAUCUGAUGGUACGAGACCAUAAUGGCUGCUCUGCUCUCCACUACGCUGCUAAUACCAACAGCUUUCUGACAGAAGACAUCAUCCAUGUUCUGAUGGAGGCGUUAAGUCAAAAAGAUGCCAUUCCCAUUUCACAAAUACGGGAUUUGGUCUCAGAGUUUGGAGAUUCAGACGUAGAGUUGGACAUUGAGAGCUUUCAUCCUAACCAGUUGAUAGCAGCCUCGCCCACAAGGACACCAACCCAUCAAGAUCACUUUCUUCUAUACAGCCACACCAGGGAAGUGCCAGAGUCUCCAGGGAGCCCCCCUCUAUCUGACCAUCAUAAAGACCUGAGCCAAGAUAAGGGGAUCCCCCCCUGUUCCCAAGAAGCCAUGGAAACACUGAUAGACAUCAGGGAAGCCUAUCAGGAGGCAGGCAGGGGAGGCAGUCGAGGUGUGUCUCUGCCCAGUUUGCACAAGAGCAACAACAGCAGACAUCGGGGCCAUGCAGACCACCCUCUGUCGUCUGGCUUGCUGAGAAGCCCCUGCCAGCCAAUACCCCCACCACACAGGAGACGAAGAACAAGAAGCGUGGUUGCUGCAUCGCCACCCUCCCAUAGCUUGUUGUCUGUGGCAGAGCCCAGUCAGCUCAGCCAAUCAGCUCCCAGCAUCAUGGAACCUCUGCUCUGUCCAAACACUAUGAUGCAGGCCAGAGCACACAUCCAGACCCGGUUGGGUUCUCAUCGUACUAUAAAUGAACAAAAGGGUCUACUGCCCCGAACACCUAAACUCUUGGCACCCCUGGACAACCGCUCCAGAAAUGGCACCGCUCUGCCUGUACUAAAGCAACAUGUUCCCCUGAAGCCCAUCAGUCAGAGCCCCCUUUCUACAAGGACCAGGUUGAAAAGAGAGAGACUGUCCUGGGGCAGCUCAUGCAUUGAUCCUUCAACAACUAAGGCUGGCAGUGAGGAGAGUGGGUCCAGCAGCAGCCACAGCUCAGUCGAUUUAGAGGAUGAGGACGCUGACAGGGAUCAAGAUGCAUAUCUGACUGUCAGUCACGACAGGAUGUUGGAGCUUCCAAAGGAUGCGAGCACCACUGAGGCUGAUAGGACUGGGAAGACAGCGCUGCAUUUUAAAGUUCAGUCAAAGAUUAGUCAUGUUCCACUGAUCCGCAGAUCAGGACGUAGCCGGAAGGAAGACCUUAUCAAUCAUACAAGUGAUCUUCACAACAGUGCAAUAGCUUUGAAUAUUACAAAAGAGUGUGCUGACAGCGAGUCAUCAAAAGUAUAUGACUCUGCAAAAAAUGGAGACACUCUGACUCAGGAUAAAGGCAUUUUGAAUAAUGUAAUAGUUUUCACAUCAGAGUCAAAGGAGGAGAAGAACAGUGUGGGGAACACUUCUGAACCUGGG
ensembl:lncRNA